rnacentral:rRNA from 1 species
GCCUGCGUACAUCUUCACUGGAAAGCAUGAUUUCCCUUCCGUCAAUCAUCGUUAAGCCGGUGAGAGCCUUCACAAGUACUACGGUGAGAGACCACGUGGGAACAUGAGGUGCUGCAGUCU